rnacentral:rRNA from 1 species
UAUACGUGACAACGUCGACCGAACAGAUAUUUGGAGCUUGCUCCUUUGACGUUAGCGGCGGACGGGUGAGUAACACGUGGGCAACCUACCCUAUAGUUUGGGAUAACUCCGGGAAACCGGGGCUAAUACCGAAUAAUCUCUUUUGCUUCAUGGUGAAAGACUGAAAGACGGUUUCGGCUGUCGCUAUAGGAUGGGCCCGCGGCGCAUUAGCUAGUUGGUGAGGUAACGGCUCACCAAGGCGACGAUGCGUAGCCGACCUGAGAGGGUGAUCGGCCACACUGGGACUGAGACACGGCCCAGACUCCUACGGGAGGCAGCAGUAGGGAAUCUUCCACAAUGGGCGAAAGCCUGAUGGAGCAACGCCGCGUGAGUGAAGAAGGUUUUCGGAUCGUAAAACUCUGUUGUAAGGGAAGAACAAGUACAGUAGUAACUGGCUGUACCUUGACGGUACCUUAUUAAAAAGCCACGGCUAACUACGUGCCAGCAGCCGCGGUAAUACGUAGGUGGCAAGCGUUGUCCGGGAUUAUUGGGCGUAAAGCGCGCGCAGGCGGUCCUUUAAGUCUGAUGUGAAAGCCCACGGCUCAACCGUGGAGGGUCAUUGGAAACUGGGGGACUUGAGUGCAGAAGAAGAAAGUGGAAUUCCCAGUGUAGCGGUGAAAUGCGUAGAGAUUUGGAAGAACACCAGUGGCGAAAGCGACUUUCUGGUCUGUUACUGACGCUGAAGCGCGAAAGCGUGGGGAACAAACAAGAUUAGAUACCCCUGGUAGUCCACGCCGUAAACGAUGAGUGGCUAAGUGUUUAGGAGGUUUCCGCCCCUUAGUGCUGCAGCUAACGCAUUAAGCACUCCGCCUGGGGGAGUACGGUCGCAAGACUGAACUCAAGAAUUGACCGGGGCCCGCACCAAGCGGUGGAGCAUGUGGUUUAAUUCGAAGCACGCGAAGAACUUACAGUCUGACAUCCCGUUGACACUGUAGAGAUAUAGCUUUCCCUCGGAGCAACGGUGACGUGGUGCAUGUUGUCUCACCUCUGUCCGGAGAUGUUGGUAGUCCCGCAACGAGCCCACCUUGAUCUUAGUGCCAUCAUUAUUGCACUCUAAGUGACUGCGUGACAACGAGAAGGUGG